rnacentral:tRNA from 5 species
GGGCGGUUGGCGCAGUGGUAGCGCACUUCCCUGACACGGAAGGGGUCACAAGUUCGAAUCUUGUAUCGCCCACCC